rnacentral:rRNA from 1 species
AAUGGGGGAAACCCUGAUGCAGCAACGCCGCGUGAGCGAUGAAGGCCUUCGGGUUGUAAAGCUCUGUCUUCAGGGACGAUAAUGACGGUACCUGAGGAGGAAGCCACGGCUAACUACGUGCCAGCAGCCGCGGUAAUACGUAGGUGGCAAGCGUUGUCCGGAAUUACUGGGCGUAAAGGGUGCGUAGGUGGUUUUUUAAGUCAGAAGUGAAAGGCUACGGCUCAACCGUAGUAAGCUUUUGAAACUAGAGAACUUGAGUGCAGGAGAGGAGAGUAGAAUUCCUAGUGUAGCGGUGAAAUGCGUAGAUAUUAGGAGGAAUACCAGUAGCGAAGGCGGCUCUCUGGACUGUAACUGACACUGAGGCACGAAAGCGUGGGGAGCAAA